rnacentral:rRNA from 1 species
CCUACGGGUGGCAGCAGUGGGGAAUAUUGGACAAUGGGCGCAAGCCUGAUCCAGCCAUGCCGCGUGAGUGACGAAGGCCUUAGGGUUGUAAAGCUCUUUUGGCGGGGACGAUAAUGACGGUACCCGCAGAAUAAGCCCCGGCUAACUUCGUGCCAGCAGCCGCGGUAAUACGAAGGGGGCUAGCGUUGUUCGGAAUUACUGGGCGUAAAGCGCACGUAGGCGGAUGUGUCAGUCAGGGGUGAAAUCCCGAGGCUCAACCUCGGAACUGCCUCCGAUACAGCACGUCUCGAGUCCGGAAGAGGUGAGUGGAAUUCCUAGUGUAGAGGUGAAAUUCGUAGAUAUUAGGAAGAACACCAGUGGCGAAGGCGGCUCACUGGUCCGGUACUGACGCUGAGGUGCGAAAGCGUGGGGAGCAAACAGGAUUAGAUACCCCAGUAGUC